rnacentral:rRNA from 1 species
GACGAACGCUGGCGGCGUGCUUAACACAUGCAAGUCGAACGGAAAGGCCCUGCUUUUGUGGGGUGCUCGAGUGGCGAACGGGUGAGUAACACGUGAGUAACCUGCCCUUGACUUUGGGAUAACUUCAGGAAACUGGGGCUAAUACCGGAUAGGAGCUCCUGCUGCAUGGUGGGGGUUGGAAAGUUUCGGCGGUUGGGGAUGGACUCGCGGCUUAUCAGCUUGUUGGUGGGGUAGUGGCUUACCAAGGCUUUGACGGGUAGCCGGCCUGAGAGGGUGACCGGCCACAUUGGGACUGAGAUACGGCCCAGACUCCUACGGGAGGCAGCAGUGGGGAAUAUUGCACAAUGGGCGGAAGCCUGAUGCAGCAACGCCGCGUGCGGGAUGACGGCCUUCGGGUUGUAAACCGCUUUCGCCUGUGACGAAGCGUGAGUGACGGUAAUGGGUAAAGAAGCACCGGCUAACUACGUGCCAGCAGCCGCGGUGAUACGUAGGGUGCGAGCGUUGUCCGGAUUUAUUGGGCGUAAAGGGCUCGUAGGUGGUUGAUCGCGUCGGAAGUGUAAUCUUGGGGCUUAACCCUGAGCGUGCUUUCGAUACGGGUUGACUUGAGGAAGGUAGGGGAGAAUGGAAUUCCUGGUGGAGCGGUGGAAUGCGCAGAUAUCAGGAGGAACACCAGUGGCGAAGGCGGUUCUCUGGGCCUUUCCUGACGCUGAGGAGCGAAAGCGUGGGGAGCGAACAGGCUUAGAUACCCUGGUAGUCCACGCUGUAAACGGUGGGUACUAGGUGUGGGGUCCAUUCCACGGGUUCCGUGCCGUAGCUAACGCUUUAAGUACCCCGCCUGGGGAGUACGGCCGCAAGGCUAAAACUCAAAGGAAUUGACGGGGCCCCGCACAAGCGGCGGAGCAUGCGGAUUAAUUCGAUGCAACGCGUAGAACCUUACCUGGGUUUGACAUGGAUCGGGAGUGCUCAGAGAUGGGUGUGCCUCUUUUGGGGUCGGUUCACAGGUGGUGCAUGGCUGUCGUCAGCUCGUGUCGUGAGAUGUUGGGUUAAGUCCCGCAACGAGCGCAACCCUUGUUCACUGUUGCCAGCACGUUAUGGUGGGGACUCAGUGGAGACCGCCGGGGUCAACUCGGAGGAAGGUGGGGAUGACGUCAAGUCAUCAUGCCCCUUAUGUCCAGGGCUUCACGCAUGCUACAAUGGCUGGUACAGAGAGUGGCGAGCCUGUGAGGGUGAGCGAAUCUCGGAAAGCCGGUCUCAGUUCGGAUUGGGGUCUGCAACUCGACCUCAUGAAGUCGGAGUCGCUAGUAAUCGCAGAUCAGCAACGCUGCGGUGAAUACGUUCCCGGGGCUUGUACACACCGCCCGUCAAGUCAUGAAAGUUGGUAACACCCGAAGCCGGUGGCCUAACCGUUGUGGGGGAGCCGUCGAAGGUGGGACUGGUGAUUAGGACUAAGUCAUAACA